UACGGGGGGAGCAAGCGUUGUUCGGAUUUACUGGGCGUAAAGGGCGCGUAGGCGGCCUGUGCAAGUCAGUUGUGAAAUCUCCGGGCUUAACUCGGAACGGUCAACUGAUACUGCUCGGCUAGAGUGCGGAAGGGGCAACUGGAAUUCUUGGUGUAGCGGUGAAAUGCGUAGAUAUCAAGAGGAACACCUGCGGCGAAGGCGGGUUGCUGGGCCGACACUGACGCUGAAGUGCGAAAGCUAGGGGAGCGAACGGG
rnacentral:rRNA from 1 species